rnacentral:rRNA from 1 species
ACUCCUGCGGGAGGCAGCAGUGGGGAAUUUUGGACAAUGGGCGAAAGCCUGAUCCAGCCAUGCCGCGUGCAGGAUGAAGGCCUUCGGGUUGUAAACUGCUUUUGUACGGAACGAAACGGCCUUUUCUAAUAAAGAGGGCUAAUGACGGUACCGUAAGAAUAAGCACCGGCUAACUACGUGCCAGCAGCCGCGGUAAUACGUAGGGUGCAAGCGUUAAUCGGAAUUACUGGGCGUAAAGCGUGCGCAGGCGGUUAUGUAAGACAGUUGUGAAAUCCCCGGGCUCAACCUGGGAACUGCAUCUGUGACUGCAUAGCUAGAGUACGGUAGAGGGGGAUGGAAUUCCGCGUGUAGCAGUGAAAUGCGUAGAUAUGCGGAGGAACACCGAUGGCGAAGGCAAUCCCCUGGACCUGUACUGACGCUCAUGCACGAAAGCGUGGGGAGCAAACAGGAUUAGAAACCCCGGUAGUCCC